ACAGGGCUUGCAGAGGCAGGCAGUGCAAGUUCAGGUUUCCAGGCUCCUGUCUUUCCUUCCUGUCAGCUCCAAAGAGGAGUGAUGGUGGGUUUUUUGUUUUUUGUUUAAAAAAAGAAGAAGAAGAAGAAAACCUGGUUGGAGCAAAAAGGAAACCUGGGGUAUGAAGAGUUAAAUUUCUACUGCUCUCUUUUCAGGUGGCUAAAGCUCAGAUGGCUGCUCAGGCAGCUGCGAAGACCAGGACAAUAAAAAUCUCAAUCCGAAUCUCUCAACAGUUCAGCCUGUGAGGGAGGGAGGCUGGAGGCAGGGGCCGGGGAGGCCAGUCCUCGCCCCUGAGACCGCAGGGCACAGAGAAAGGAGGCCCCACUCAAGGAGUCCACAGCCUGGGGGACCCGCUCUCGCGCCAAAGCCUCAUUACAGAAAGUUUUUGCUAGAACAACUUACAGAAAAGGCCCCAGGAGGCCUGAGCGGGGUUUGGGCUCUUUGCACAGGACCCUGUUGACUCGUGCUGCUGACGGCCAAGGGGGCCAGUCGGUGUGCGGAAUAGCGAAUCCACGCAGGCUAAACCAUUUGCUGGAGUUUUGGGUUGCUGUGUAAGAGUGUGGUGGGGAUACGUGGGGAACUGGUUGGCAUCUUCUCUGCAGGAAUGCAUUAUUAUUUAUUAUUAUUAUUAUUGUUAUUGUUAUUGCUGUUGCUAUUAUUAUUGUCUUUUUAGAGCCUCGCUCGUGGCAGAUGGAGGUUCCCAGGCUGUGGGUAGAAUUGGAGCUACAGCUGCGGACCUGCACCACAGCCACAGCAACGCCGGGCCUGCGACCGACACCACAGCUCAGGGCAACGCCAGAUCCUUAACCCGCUGAGCGAGGCCAGGGAUUGGUCAGAUUGGUUUCCCCUGAGCCAUGAGAGGAACUCCGAGGACUGCAUUAUCAUUAUAUUUUAAUUUUUAAAAAAUUUACUGGUGAUGUUUAAGAAUAGGGGGCUGGGAGUUCCGUUGUGGCUCAGCAGUAACGAACCCAAAUAGCAUCCUCGAGGACACAGGUUCGAUCCCUGGGUCUGGCAUUGCUGUGAACUGUGGUGUAGGUCAAAGACUCCACUUGGAUCUGGCGUUGCAUCCUCUUGGUUGCUAGCAGGGUUUGCUACCCACUGAGCCACCGUGGGAACGCCUUCCCUUGCCUUUUAAACUGCUUUGGAGUUUUGUUGUUCUUGUUGUUACUGUGGAAACGGAGACAUGACACGUUGGUGAUACGGACUGAAGUAAAGAGAAUUCUAGAAGGAGGUUUCAUUGACUCCAGCUACGAGUCAAGCUGACUUUACUCUCUGCUGAGCCUGCAGUCCUCAGAAGCCCCCCUGUUCUCCACUGUCUUUGCUUCUGUCACCCCUGCUGCUUCAGGCUUUCCCUUAAAUUGUCCUCUUAAAUAGAGGCUGAGCCCUGCAGCUCUUUCGUUGUAACCCAUUGUUACUGUGUUACUUUAGAGCCCCGGGAUGUGGCUGCCUAGUGUGGGAGAGAGGAAGCAUUCUGCCAUCCUUUAAAGCCCCGGCUUUGACUGCUUUUGCGCUGCAGGGAGCUGACACUCAGAGGUUGUCCUCCAGUCUAGCUCCUCUUAGAGAGGCCCUGAAGUCACGCUGUCUCGCUCCACCCCGACACCCCCCACCCCCUAGCCGGUUGGGGUGCAAUCCCUCCCUUGCUGAGCAGGCUCUGGGGGAAGUCUCAGGAUGGCUGCUUGUCCCCUCUUCCUUCCAGAAACAGGAGCUUUUGGUUUUGCUUGGCUCUCCCUAAUGAGAACCUGGUGCGGUGCUUGGAGGUAAAACCCAUGGCAGCCUGGCCCAUCCAGGGCUGCAGCCCCCAGGAAUGCCUUCCUCCCUCCACCUCCAGAAAUUGUUCCAAUGACCAGUUUAUGGCCUAGAGGAGCUGAUAUUGACUAUGAGUCUGUGUUCAACUAUAAUCCAGUUUCAGGGUAAGGUUUUGCUCUAUAACCUCAAUUCUCUGAGGGAUCCAAGAAAAAUCACUCUUCUCAGUUUGUACAUCUGUGUGUGUGUGUGCGCGCGCGCGCGUGUGUGUGUGUGCGUGUUAAGCACAUGAGUGACCAUUUCCAAGCUCUUUCUAUGUUGGAAUUGAAAACAUCUCAAACAUUUUUAUGGUACCAUUUUGUCAUCUUCAAGGACUUCUGGCUAUAAGGCGCUGUGGUGUCAUUGUACUGUUUUUAUGGUAGUCGUAGGGUUUCUGGUAUACGUCUCCAGGUCACCAUAGUUUCAAGAGUUGUUGUACUAUUUCACGUGGAAACUUCCAAUGCUGUAUAAAGCUAUCAAGGACCGCGUAGACACUGCUCGAGACAGACGUGGGAGGAGGCAGGAUCCUACCUCUGCCCCAGCUGAUGCCCAGUCAGGAAAAUAUGGAUUUUUUUUGGCUUUGGAUUAAUCCCAAAUGCCCACAUUUAUGAUGUUCUGUAUAGUCUGCCUGUUUGAACAUUGAGACAGUUAUGUCUUGCAGUGAUGAAAAACUAGAUACGGUUGACAAAUGCUCAAAAAAAAAAAAAAAAAA
rnacentral:lncRNA from 1 species